rnacentral:rRNA from 1 species
CCUACGGGAGGCAGCAGUGAGGAAUAUUGGACAAUGGGCGCAAGCCUGAUCCAGCCAUGCCGCGUGCAGGAUGACGGUCCUAUGGAUUGUAAACUGCUUUUGUACAGGAAGAAACCCUUUCACGUGUGGAAGAUUGACGGUACUGUAAGAAUAAGGAUCGGCUAACUCCGUGCCAGCAGCCGCGGUAAUACGGAGGAUCCAAGCGUUAUCCGGAAUCAUUGGGUUUAAAGGGUCCGUAGGCGGUUUAGUAAGUCAGUGGUGAAAGCCCAUCGCUCAACGGUGGAACGGCUAUUGAUACUGCUAGACUUGAAUUAUUAGGAAGUAACUAGAAUAUGUAGUGUAGCGGUGAAAUGCUUAGAGAUUACAUGGAAUACCAAUUGCGAAGGCAGGUUACUACUAAUGGAUUGACGCUGAUGGACGAAAGCGUGGGUAGCGAACAGGAUUAGAUACCCUGGUAGUCCACGCCGUAAACGAUGGAUACUAGCUGUUGGGCGCAAGUUCAGUGGNGUAGAGAAGUAGAUAAGUAUACCCACCGUCGGGUAGGUACGGUUCGUCGAAGAAGUAGUAAACGUUAAAGGUAAAGUUAGUACGGCGUGAGACGUAGACCGACGGACGACGACCGACGGGGAGGGUUAGGGAG